rnacentral:misc_RNA from 1 species
CGCACAUUGCGCCCUUCGGUUAUUCCUUAGGGCAUGCCUGUUCGAGCGUCAUUUCAACCUUCAAGCACAGCUUGGUGUUGGGCGUCUGUCCCGCCUCUUGCGCGAGGACUCGCCCCAAAUGGAUUGGCAGUCGCAACCACCGAGCCGCGAGCGCAGCACAAGUCGCGCGAGUCGGCGAGGGACUGGGACGCUCCACAAGACCCCUUCUACAGUCUUGACCUCGGAUCAGGUAGGGAUACCCGCUGAACUUAA